rnacentral:misc_RNA from 1 species
GCUUUCAAAUCCUCGUCUACAUCAGUUUCCUCGUACAGAUCAGAUCGAGAAAAGUAGCGUCUUGAAGAAGUCGAUAGGCGAGAGCUCCACGAAUCAGAAGCCAUUAAAAUCUUCGAUCAAAAGCUUUUUACAAUAUGUGUUAUGCAGUACUGAUGACCAAGUAAAACGGUGCAGAGGGGCGAUUAUGUAAUUUUAUUUAACUUGCCGGCCUGAAGAUGAUAA